GAUGAACGCUAGCUACAGGCUUAACACAUGCAAGUCGAGGGGCAUCGGGGAGGAUGCUUGCAUUCUCCGCCGGCGACCGGCGCACGGGUGAGUAACGCGUAUCGAACCUGCCUCAUACCCGGGGACAGCCUUGCGAAAGUAAGAUUAAUACCCGGUGUUUUCGCGGUGCCGCAUGACGCUGCGAACAAAGGAUUUCCGGUAUGAGAUGGCGAUGCGUCCCAUUAGCUUGUUGGCGGGGUAACGG
rnacentral:rRNA from 1 species